rnacentral:rRNA from 1 species
UACAGAGGUCCCAAGCGUUGUUCGGAUUCACUGGGCGUAAAGGGUGCGUAGGUGGUCGGGUAAGUCUGAUGUGAAAUCUCUGGGCUCAACCCAGAAAUGGCAUUGGAUACUAUCCGGCUAGAGGAGUGGAGGGGGAACUGGAAUACUUGGUGUAGCGGUGAAAUGCGUAGAUAUCAAGAGGAACACCUGCGGCGAAGGCGGGUUGCUGGGCCGACACUGACGCUGAGGCGCGAAAGCUAGGGGAGCGAACGGG